rnacentral:tRNA from 1 species
GCCUGGGGGGCUCAGUCGGUUGAGCGUCCGACUUCGGCUCAGGUUGAUCUCACAGUUCGUGGGUUCGAGCCCCUCGUCGGGCU